rnacentral:SRP_RNA from 1 species
GGUUGGGUCCUGUGCAACGGAGCGGCGGCGAACUCGGUCAGGUCCGGAAGGAAGCAGCCGUAGUCGUUCGAUUUGUGUGCUGCAGGCCGCCUGGCCGCG